AGUUGAAACUAGAAAGAUAGGAAAAGAUAUCUAUGUGAAAGGUAACCAAGUUCAGGUGGCUGUGUUGCAGUCUGCGUAGAUGACUAAAAGUUUAGGCCAGGAAGAAACUAUGAAAAUUGCAAAUGCACUCUCUCAGCACAUAAAGACGAUGUUAGUCAAGGAGAGACGGUAAAGACAUUCCCAUCACAGUCAGCUUAGAUCCUGCAAUGCCCACAGUGUUUGCCCAGGAAUGCGACAGGAAGAUCACGGGGUUCUCAUACCUACUGCAUCCUGAAGUGACACCUGCCUGUGUGUGGGAACAGGAGACACCAAACUGGAGGGGGCAAAAGGGAAAGGUCGGAAGGAAGAAACAGCAGCACAGCAGCAGCUGAGGGCUUGACACCUGUCAACAGUGGGUAGGAAAAGCACUCAGAGGCUCCUCAAGGAAAUUCUGGAUUCGAACCAGUUAGUGCAGAACUGAGAGUCAGUUGGACCUGGUACACCCAGCAGGCCUCAACAGCCUCAGUGUGGGCACACUGCCAAGAGCACAGGGUCACUCUCUCGGAUGGACAAGUGCUCCGCCAAACUCACUUUCAAUGCCAUUUAAAAGCUGGAGUCUUCUGCUGAGCAUGGUGGCACAGGCCUGAGAGCCCAGCAGCAGGAAGGCUGCAGCAGGAGGAUUGCUGCAAGUCUGGGGCAUCCAAGGCCAGCCUGGGCUACAUAGUGAGACCCUGUGUCAAACAUUUUUUUCUUUUGUUUUAUAUUAAUUACAGUUUAUUCACUUUGUAUCCCAGCUGUCGCCCCCUCCCUCAUCAAACAUUUUUUUUAAAGUUCACAACCAGGAUCUUUUCUGCCUUUGUAGAAUUUGGGUAUAAAUGUACAGUUCAGGACAAGCUUGUGAAAAUGAGCAACAACAUUCUCAAACAACCAGAGGGUCAAUAUGCAAAUGAAAUCAGGUCACAAUCUGAGGUGAGUGAAAACAACACGAUUUGCAAAAGCAAACACACCCUUCCCCCUAAACACACACACACACACACACUAAAGGUUGGAGUGUGGCUCAGAGGUAGAGCACAUGCCUAGGAAGCAACAGACCCUGGUUCAAACAUUAACACAGCAAAAAAUAAAGAAUUAAAGUCAGAGGAGAACUGGGUAGAGACUAGGGAGGAAGAGAGAGAGGAAAGAGGAAAGGAUGGAGGGAGGGAGGGCAGAAGAAAGAAGUGAGGGAGGGAGAUGGGAAAGGAAGUAAGAGAAAGGGAGGAAGGGAAGGAGAGAGAAGGGAGGGAGGGAGCUCCCAGGCCAACAGCUGUAUCUGUGAUGGAGAAGAUGGCUACUGAGUAGAGACAGAGCUCCUGUAAAGCACUUAUUCAUUGUGCUUGAGCCAGAGUUCAAAGGUGUCACCUCUACAUAUUAGGAUUUCCAUCCCACUCAGCCAAGUAGAGCACACCUUCUCUCGUCACUCAGGGCUGUGGGUCUUUGACCGCUGGAUGGUCAGAGGAGCCUGGCUGGAGCCAUGGUAUGUCCAAGAGGACCACAGCUUUCAGGAACUUUAUUUUCCUUCCACCUUCUCCCCCUUUGCUCAGGUGUCUGCAGAGCUCAGGACCACUCUGUGGUGGCCCCAACCCACUCGGCAGCCUGUGCCGUGGGAGCUGCUGACCAGUCCUCAGCGGCUGGCUGAGCACUCCAGUCCUCAGGAGGGAACUGCUGGAUGGGCACAGGGGGCGCCUGCACACCCUCAGGCCAGGCUGCCACCUCGGGCUGAGCGGCAGUGAACUCAGCAGCUGGCACAGUCCAUUCGCCCUGGAAUUCCUCGUUGGUCACGGCCUUCUCAGCAGCAGCCUGCUCCUCCUUCUCAGUCUCCUCCAGGUCUCUGCAGAAGUAAAGAUCAGGCAUAACCUCCCACGGGGGCUCACGGGAGAUAGUGCCACGCAUGUGCAGCACUUCCUGGGCAGCAUCCGCCACAUCAGACCCCCUGGAUGUAUUGCUCCAUCUGAAAGUCAAGGUUGGUGCCAUCUAAGUGGGUCCCUGUGGUGAGGAAUUUGAGGACAUCCUCCUCCUUCAUCUGCAGGACAUCAAGGGCUCUGGACAUUGUGAAAGUUUUCCCUUUAAGUUACGCUGGGAAUCAAAAACAAUGUCGUAUGGACCCGUCCCUGGGCAGCGCGGGGGGGGGGGGGGAAGCUUAUUCCUCAUGUAUCUUAGUUUAAUUUGUGUAUGACCGCCAGACGUGUGUGGGUGCCCAGUGCCCCCGAGGCCAGAAAAGGAUGUUGGAUACACUGGCACUGUGGUCUUGUGCCCAUGAACCUCCAGUGCGGGUGUAGGAGAUGGAACUUGGAUGCUCAGUAAUGGCGAUCAUCUGAGCCAUCUCCCCAGGCUCUAGUGUUUGUAAAGAUGUAUACACACCUGAGGUGUCCGUUAUAACUCAGGCAAGGUAAGAGAUUAAUGUUGAUAACUAGUGACAAUUAUCACAAACAAAAGACCCAUGAAAGUUCUUCAGAUGGAACUAUCUCUCAGCUAUCUCACCGUGCCCUCACAAUCCUACGUGACAUGCCUCAGGGUGACACAAGGCCUGCAGAUGAGCUGGACCAAGGAGAAGGAGCACCGUGCGCACUGUGACACAGCGUGAGGACUUUGUCACCUUCUGCCCUGAACACGAGGACUGAGACACUACAGAGGCAGGCCCAGUAACUCAGACUCCUCCAUGUCCCUAGUAGCAUGAACAAGUGGCUCAAGGACCCCCCUCGUGUCCCCAGCAUGAGUGCGACGGGGAAGAAGACAGGAGCUUUAGUGAGACUCCCUCAAACAGUGCACAGCUCAAGAUCUGCAAAUGGCUCGUUUCUGGAAGUUUCCGUGGAUUGCUUUGGACCGUGGUGAUCACUGUAAUUGAAACCAGGGAAAGGCGAGCGAGCUCUGGCCGAGCAGGGUUCAUUCCCACAGUUGGGCUUUAGAGAGCCAGUGUGAUGCCUGCUGGACACGAAGGAGGCUUGACGACUUAAGUCAGUCACAGAGAGACAGUGCGUGAGCGCACUCUGUCAGCUCACAGAAACUGAGGCAGAAGGAUGGGCGCCAGAGUUGUGCAGAGGAGAGCGAGGACAGCUGCUGUUGUGGGGUGCAGGGCUUCAUGUCAGCAGAUGAAGGGGUCUGGGGAGGCGCUGCAGGGGGCCGAGCACUGGGAAUGACUUGUACCACUGAGCUGUAUGCUGCAAAUGGAGAGGACGCGCUGGGGGAGGCGCCCUGGAGUGUGCAUGGUUCCCAGCACCAUGAGAAAUAAAACAGUCAG